GAGGAAAUGGAAGAAGAGAAACAGAAGGUGGAAAGCAGGUGGGUGAGGCUUCUUCAAAAAGAAGAGAGGAAAACGAGGAAGGCUGCCACAAUAAAGAGGAAAACAACACAGAUUUGCGCCGACAGUAUUCCUCGCAGAGCUAAAGCAGUUUCCAGGCUUUGACCUGAAUAUAAAAGCCGUGACUGCCAGCAACUCUCUUGAAGAGAAAAGGACCUACUGCCAUAGGCUUUAAAAUGCAGUUCUUCAAUAAAAACCUUGAAGAUGACCUCUGGCCCAUGCUUGCACUUGGGGACGCUAACGUGGACCUUCUCUGGGCUCCUCUGAGAAGACCGAUGUUUAACUCUGGUGCCUUGGCCUGUGGUUUCUUCUCAUUUUUCUCUGUGAAUCAGGCUGGCCUCGCCUCUCACACAUGCACUGAAGCAGCAUAAAGGGCAGCAUCAGAC